UGUACAACACAUAAGUAAGAUUUUUGGGCAUGUUUAAAAAAAAAAAAAAAAAAAAAAACUCUUUAACUCUGAAUCCAUGAAACAUUGUAUUUCCCCUUUAAGCAGAUGUGUGACACAUACGACCCCUUGCUGCGGCACGAGGAGCAUGUAAUAUGCAUUAAUGCUGUGAGUUGCAUAAUGGAGGGUGGUAGUCCAUCAAGGGAAGCAUACAGCCUUCGAAAUUUAGGAUAACGUCCAGUCUGAAUGAAAGUGCUCCAUAUAAACACCUCAAUCAGAAUAAAAGUAUCCAAACCAAAAUGGUAAUCUGUUGAAAGGGGUGGGAUAACCUUCUAUAACCAAACUAAAUCAAAAUCCUGCCAUGUGAACAUGUUAAACCAAUACUUGCACUGUAAAAAAUUGCUGUAGUUUCUACAGCAAAAUUUUACAGAAUUGUACUGUAUAAACAUUUUACAAGAUGCACCUGUAAUUCGCAAUGCAUUAUGGGUCAAAUAAGGUUUUAGUUGUUAACAGUAUAUUUCCACGUCAACUGUAAUUCAUUUACAAGAAGCAGGUGUUGUCACUGUAGUUCCUGCUUUUUACACUAACUUUCUGUAGUGUGGCAUUAUGGGAUUGCACGCGCAUCAUUCAUAUGAGAAACCCAGCCGACUGGAGCAGCUCGAGAACGAUUGAAGAUUAGAGGCUUUAUUCAUAAUUCCUGGAUGUUCACAUCCAUGAUGAUCCAUUAUACCAACAAUGUGAACAUUCACAUCGAGUGUCUAAGGGCAGCAGGAAACACUUCAAACCUUGUUCAAAACCACUUUACAGAGUCGAAAAGGUGCUGAUUAACAAGAGUCCUCAAAGAUGUAGCCAAGCUCAGCCCUCACUUCCAGACCUCAUCCUUGGAGGCCUUUCACAGUGUUAUUUUACGCUUUGCCCCCAAAAGUGUGGUAUUCCCUUUUAUUGGAAUGCUGUGCAGGUUAUAUUUGGCUGGCAUGCAUUUCAAUGAAAAUUCAAACCGUCCAAAGGCUACUACAUCAUCUGGAAAGCCAAUGUACAGACUUUUGUUCCCCAAGGCUAAAAAAAGGAUUGUACACCAUAAAACCAUUGACAUCCAACCCAACGUACUGCUACGUCUACAACCUGAUGACACUGCUUUUUGAAAAGGUUCUGCCAGAUCCUUUUCCCUACAUGGAGGAACUGCAUAAAAUUACAGUGUCUGACAGUCUAUGCACGCAGUAUGACAGACCUUCAUUGGAGGAGGCCAUUGCUGAGCACGUAUCAAGGUUUAGUCAAGGGGCAGUUUGAAUCCGACAUAGCUGCCGGUAUAUACACAGGACAACACAUGAUGGUAUUACAACCCUGAUCUUUCUGCCUAGAUAGCCCCAGCA